rnacentral:rRNA from 1 species
GAUGAACGCUGGCGGCGUGCUUAACACAUGCAAGUCGAACGAAGCACUUAAUUUGAUUUCCUUCGGGACUGAUCAUUUUGUGACUGAGUGGCGGACGGGUGAGUAACGCGUGGGUAACCUGUCGUUUACAGGGGGAUAACAGUUGGAAACGGCUGCUAAUACCCCAUAUGCGCACAUCAUCGCAUGAGGCAGUGUGAAAAACUCCGGUGGUAUAAGAUGGACCCGCGUUGGAUUAGCUAGUUGGUGAGGUAACGGCCCACCAAGGCGACGAUACAUAGCCGAGAAGAGAGGCUGGCUCGACACAUCGGGGCUGAGAAACAGUACAAACUCCUCCGGAAGGCAGCAGUGGGGAAUAGUGCAACAUCGGCGAAGUGAUGAUGCUGCUCCGCCGGGUAAGCGAAGAAGUAUUUGAGGAUGUAAAGCUCUAUCAGCAAGGCACAUAAUGACGGUACCUGACUAAGAAGCCCCGGCUAAAUACGUG